UUCCGGUUGAUCCGGCCGGACCCGACUGCUAUCAGAGUGGGACUAAGCCAUGCUUGUCAACGUAGCAAUACGUGGCAUACGGCUCAGUAACACGUAGUCAACAUGCCCAGGGGACGAGGAUAACCUCGGGAAACUGAGGAUAAACCUCGAUAGGCCAUGAUUUCUGGAAUGAUUCUUGGCUCAAACCUAUAUGGCCCCUGGAUUGGACUGCGGCCGAUCAGGCUGUUGGUGAGGUAAUGGCCCACCAAACCUAUUACCGGUACGGGCUCUGAGAGGAGGAGCCCGGAGAUGGGCACUGAGACAAGGGCCCAGGCCCUAUAGGGCGCAGCAGGCGCGAAACCUCUGCAAUAGGCGAAAGCUUGACAGGGUUACUCUGAGUGAUUUCCGCUAAGGGAAUCUUUUGGCACCUCUAAAAAUGGUGCAGAAUAAGGGGUGGGCAAGUCUGGUGUCAGCCGCCGCGGUAAUACCAGCACCCCGAGUGGUCGGGACGAUUAUUGGGCCUAAAGCAUCCGUAGCCGGUCCUGCAAGUCUUCCGUUAAAUCCAGCUGCUCAACAGAUGGGCUGCGGGAGAUACUACAGGGCUAGGAGGCGGGAGAGGCAAGCGGUACUUUAUGGGUAGGGGUAAAAUCCGCUGAUCCAUAGAAGACCACCAGUGGCGAAGGCGGCUUGCCAGAACGCGCUCGACGGUGAGGGAUGAAAGCUGGGGGAGCAAACCGGAUUAGAUACCCGGGUAGUCCCAGCUGUAAACGAUGCAGACUCGGUGAUGGGUUGGCCUCGCGCCUGCCCAGUGCCGCAGGGAAGCCGUUAAGUCUUCAACGGGGGGCGUACGGUCGCAAGACUGAAACUUGGGCCUAUAGGGGGGGGAGCA
rnacentral:rRNA from 1 species